rnacentral:lncRNA from 1 species
GUCACCCAGGCUGGAGUGCAGUGGCACCAUCUCGGCUCACUGCAGCCUCUGCCUCCUGAGCUCAAGCAAUUCUUUUGCCUCAGCCUCCUGAGUAGCUGAGAUUACAGGUGCACACCAGCACGCCCAGCUAAUUUUUGUAUUUUUAGUAGACUCUGUAGGGUUUUCGCCAUGUUGGCCAGGCUGGUCUUGAACUCCCAAGCUCAGAUGAUCCACCACCUCGGCCUCCUAAAGUGCUAGGAUUACGGUGUGAGCCACUAUGCCUGGCCUAAAUUAUUUUUUAGAGAUGGUGUCUUACUCUAUUGUCCCUCACUGCAGCCUUAAAACUCCUGGGCUCAAGCAAUCCUCCUGCCCCAGCCUCAUGUGUAGCUAGGACAGAACUUUUAUUAUCAGUUCCAUUUUACAGGUGAGAAAACAAAGCACAAAGGGUCCAAUGUUGCACAAUUAAUAAACGGUGGAGCUGGGAUUCAAACCCUAGAGACCUAGCUUCAAAGGCCACAUUCUCAACCUUGACUCCAUAGCUGUCAACCCCAAAGUUGCAAAGCAGCCAGUGGUGGAGCUAGGCCCAGAAUGCAAGUCUCCUCUGGGCAGAAAAGUCAGAGAGCCAGUGAAGGUGAAUAAACCAAGGCCAGAAAAGCCACAAUCCAGGCCUAGAAGGCUAGUAGCUCCUAGGAGCUAAGGAACUAAGGCCUAAUUGCUAAGGAGAGGGCUCCAGGGCCCUCUCCUUCAAAGGGAAGGAAGGGGCUGACAGUGGGGCAGCCUUUGCCUGCCUGCCUCCCUCCCUGCCAACGGGGAGCCCUGACCAACCCCAGCUGAGUUGUCACCUCCCUGUGCUAAUGUUGGCCCCUUUCCCAGGUGACCACCACUUCCUUCCCUGCCGUGUUAGGCUGGACAUCCCCUAGGAAAACAUCUUUCUGGGAGGGGUGAGCGAGAGUCUGCCAGGAUCCUGCUUGAAUAGCCAGUCAGAAAGGGAGAAGCAAGUGUGUUCCAGGCAGAGGAAACGGAAGGGGGAGCCCCUGGCUGUGUAGACAGAGGAGGAGAGAUGGGCAAAGAAGGCCAAAAAGGAACACCCAGAAGGUGGAGAAAAGCCAGGGAGAAAAUCAAGACUUCAGAGGGAAAGGAGGCAUGUGUUGGGUCAGAGGUCAAAAGCAAAGCAACAUAAAAGCUGAGACUAGACUCAGCAUCACUCUCAGGGAGCCCUGGGCAGUGUGGGAAGGUGGGGCACAGAAACACAGGAGGCCAGAGUAGAUCACGCCUCUGCUCAGGUCUGAGUGUCAGAGCUGGAGCCAAUCCAUACCCCUGAGUAGUCUGUGAAGGCUGCCUGGGAGAGACAUGUACAGUUACCCGCCUGGAAGGGCAUGCAAGUGCCUCUAGGAUAUGGGCAAUAAGCAGGACCAGGCAGCCUGAGUGUAACUCUCCAGGUUCUGGGACUGAACACAAGAAUUAAUUAGAAGUGUGGGGAGGUAAUAGAGUGGGGAGCAGCCUGACCUCUAACCCCCAGACUCCUGGGGGAGCUGGAAGAGGGCUUUCCGAACAGCAAACAUUUAUUAAGCACCUACUUUGUGCUGGGUGCUGAGAAUACAGGAGUAGACUAGAUCCAAUCCCUGUUCUCAAAGAGCUUCCCGUGUACUGGGUGUUCGUCCCGAGUCAGGAAACGACUGGUAGCAUCAUUAUCCCCCAUGUGUUGGAUGCCAGAAGCCAGGGGCAAGCGGAAGCUGGAGAUGACACCUGAGGAAGCAAGCCGAGCAUGGAGCCCUGGCUGAGCAGCGAAGUCAUACCUGGGCCCUAGUGAGGGCGCUGAGGCUGGAGCCGCUUCUAGGAAACUGUCUGGACUCUUAGCAGAAAGGACGGUGGUUAGAUAGCAACACAGACUUCCCACAAGAAAGGGUUAUUAAGGAAAAAAAGGCUGGGGCCGGGCUGGUGGCUCACACCUGUAAUCCCAGCACUUUGGGAGGCCGAGGCGGGCGGAUCACGAGGUCAAGAGAUACAGACCAUCCUGCCUGCCUCGCCCACCCCACCUUUCAGCCAGCCCCUUCCCCAUUCAGCAGCUGGACCCUCCCCACUGACACAUACUUGUUUCUGCCCUUUGUUUUCCUCCCUGGCCAAAUCCCCAAGGCUUCUUUGGUCAUUAACCUCCUGCCUUAAUUAGCUUAGUGAGGAGGAAAGCAGAGGCAGCGCAAGUUCAGGGUGGGAGUCUGGGGGGAAUCUCAUUUCAGUGGGGACAGGAAGGCUCAGCCAGCUGGUGGCCCCACAAAAAUGCCUAGCACACAAUAAGACCUAUGCAACUGUUUGCUAUUUCUAUUUAUGUGAAAGAUAGUCACCUGGUCCACAAAGCAAAAACUUUCUCCCAAAGAGACCCCAUGGUCCCCAGUACCACAGUCUCUGCAAUCCAGGUUCCUGGGGCAGACGGAGGGGACAAGAGGCAGAAAUAGCCCACUCUCCAGGGCCCUGUCUCUCUAAUUCUUCCUCUUUCACUCUUGCUUGGUGGCAGUAGCAUCAAAUCCCACAAUAAGGUUUACUGUUGAUCUUAUGUUAAAUCCCCAGUCCAGGGGGCAAACUUCCCCAACUCCAGGACCCUCCCGGGUUCCUCAGUCAAGGUUCUCCUUCCCUGGAUCUUCUGCCUAGCAAAGGAAAAAAAUCCCUGCAGUGUGCCAACUGCCCCCCUCCCAGUCGGUGCCUCUGAGAUCUCCGAGACUGGGGGGGCGGGGGGCGGGCGAGGGGAGAUGGCUUGCUGUUUAGGGAUGAGGGGACCCCAUCCUUUGCCAGGGGGUUCCAGCCCCAGCCUGGCACCCUUUCCUGGCCCCCACAACACGCAGAGCCCAGCUCUCCCCCCAUCGCUGCUGCGGGCUUUGUCUUCUCUGCCGAGAACCUCUCCCCGCGGCCGGGCUCCGGGAUCGACUCUGGGAGAGCGGGAGGGGGAAGCGGAGAGUGAGCGCGGCAGGGAGCGGGGAGAGGGGAGCGAGAGAG